GACGAACGCUGGCGGCGUGCUUAACACAUGCAAGUCGAACGGAAAGGCCCUGCUUUUGUGGGGUGCUCGAGUGGCGAACGGGUGUGUAACACGUGAGUAACCUGCCCUUGACUUUGGGAUAACUUCAGGAAACUGGGGCUAAUACCGGAUAGGAGCUCCUGCUGCAUGGUGGGGGUUGGAAAGUUUCGGCGGUGGGGGAUGGGCUCGCGGCUUAUCAGCUUGUUGGUGGGGUAGUGGCUUACCCAGGCUUCGACGGGUAGCCGGCCUGAGAGGGUGACCAGGCACAUUGGGACUGAGAUACGGACCAGUCGCCAACGGGAGGCAGUAGGGGAGAAUAUUACACAGUGAGGGGGAGUGUGAUACGGCGGCGCCGCGUGCGGGAUGACGGCCUACGUGGUGUGAACCGCUUUCGCCUGUGACGAAGCUGGAGUGACGUUAAUGGGUAAAGAAGCACCGGCUAACUACGUG
rnacentral:rRNA from 1 species